UGAAAAACAUUGAGUAGGAGUAGUAGUGAUAAUGACCCGCAUUAAGAGAGUUGACGGCUGGUGGAAGUCAACCGGGUACAGCAUGAACUCGCCUAUGAGUUGUAAGCACGAAUUGUACAGUAAUGCUUACCGUUUUCCGCGUUAUGGAUGAAUUAAGCGAGUGUUUACAACACUAAUGUGGGUGGUACCGCGGGAAGAUACAUACAAUCCUCUCGUCCCUUUU
rnacentral:ncRNA from 2 species